rnacentral:lncRNA from 10 species
GAAGGGAGGGAGUCCAUGGAUGUGCUUCAAGGGUUUGGUGAUUCCCUGGAAACGAUUGUCACUUAACUUGGACAUCUCUACCUUGAUUUCACAGAAAGAGCUGCACAUACAGAAGACAGAGGCAAGGCUGGGGCAAGAAUCUUCUUACUUUCUGGUUAUUUCUUUGCAUAGGGCCCCUACUCAUGCUGUAAUGUGGUAUGGCUGAGACUUCCCU